rnacentral:pre_miRNA from 1 species
UCUUAUGGAUGAGCAAAGAAAGUGGUUUCUUAAGAAGAAAUCUAGUCCUAGUGAAUAUGCUGCGAA